rnacentral:lncRNA from 1 species
GCGCGCCCUCGCUGGCGCCGUACGGUGGCGAACGGAGGGAAAUCCGCACCGUAAAACGGUGCGGACGUCCGUAUCUGAAACGGACUGUGUAUAUAUAUAUAUAUAUAUAUUUAUAGGGCUUCUCAGCUGUGGACGUCUGCAUUUAUCUUGCGGUGCGGAUUUCCAUUUUACACUUACUUUUCAAUCGAAUUUUCACAUCUCCACCGUCUAAUAUUUAGAUACUAUUGUAUAGAUCAUCUCUGCAAAAUUUCAGCCAAUUUGGUUAUCAUUAAGGGACUCAAAACUGCAUUUUUCUAUUAUAAACAUGAACGGUUUAAGUUCGAUAGAAUUAUGUUCAUCUAUUGGUUUAAUCGAGUUGAGUGUCUUAAUGAUAACCAAAUUGGCUGAAAUUUUACAGAGAUGAUCUAUACAUUAGUAUCUAAAGACAAUACGGUGGAGAUGUGAAAAUUUGAUUGAAAAGUGAGUGUAAAGUGAAAAUCCGCACCGUAAGAAUAAAUGCGGACAUCUGCACCUGAGAAAGUCUAUAUAUAUAUAUAUAUAUAUAUGUACGUACGUGAUCUCCUAGUGGAAUCGUUGUAGGUUUCAUGGUGGUGGUUGGAAAAGUUAAGGUGGAUGGAGGGUGGUGUGACGGCCGGAUAAGGGCAAGUUACUGAGUGUUUUUCAGUAAAUCUUUUUGUGACUAUUAAACAUAUAUAGAUCUCUUAAAGGUGAUGAUAUUCUCUAUUUAAACUCUAGGGUUUGGCCUUUAUUCUUAAGAGAGCGAGUCUACUGGUUAUUAAUUUGGACAAUUUUCUUUUCUAAGUUCGAUACUUCAAUUUGAUCAUAUGGAUGAGGGCAAAAGCUGUAUUACGCUCGUUGUACGGUAUGUCUGACAGAGUCGUUAACGGAAGGGUAAUUAUGUACUUUCAGAUCGUCACAGUAACUACCUGAUUUUACUGCAAGAAGGAGGAGAGAUCGAAGAGAGAUUUUGCGGAAUCCAAUAAUGCAGAGAUUACAUACAUAGCCGGUAGCUCGUUGCCAAGAGAGAAGAGUCGAAUCAUUUCGAGAGGAUUCGAAGAUACAGUCUGGAACUGGAGUCGGAAACCCAGAGAGAUUAGCGACGAAGCUCAUUGUGGGGAGAUCAGAGUCGAAUCUAAUUACUGGUAGCGAUCUUCGGAAACCCAUUACAAUCUGCUUCAGGUUCGCUCAAAGUGUUUGUCCCCUGUUUUGCAUUUUACU